GGAGCUGGUAAUCAGGAUGGCAGUGAGGCAGGCACUUGCUUGCAGAAGAACAGGCCUAGUUUUUUAAGAAGCCACAAAAGUGUCUUUGGAUGAUUAGGAUCUAAGGGGCCAACAGCUUUGCAAUAACAGCAUAAAUAUUGUGGGCUGGAUGGACAGGCACCAAAUGGGGACAUUCCAUCCUGCUGUGUGAUGAGAAAGCUGCCACUUUUGAGGCCUUCCAAAACAAAUCAACACUCCAUAUGCCAGAAGGAAAAGCCCAGGAAAGACCUAUUCCAACUGGAGAUGGAAUACGAAGGGAGAAUGAAACAAAACUGCUCCGCUUAGGGAACUUGGAAAGGAAAUUGAAAAGGCAAGGCACAGGCUGGAAGAAAAUAUUUGAAAAAGAUUUAUGUGAACUUCUUUCUGGAUUAUACAAAAUAUUUUUAGAUAUUCUUACAACUCUAAAAUAAGAUAACUCCUUAAAAAUCUAAAUUCUACCAAAGGAGAGAUAAAGAUGACGAAUACAUUCAAAGAUGCUGAAAAUCACUUAUUUAUUAUUAGGAAGUUACAAGCUAAAGCAUAAUGAGAUACCACUACAACCUACUAAACUGACUAAAAUUAAUCAGACUAACCAGGUGUUGGCAAGAAACAGGGACACUGAGACUCUCACACUGCUGGAAGGAAUGUAAAAUGCUAAAACUUCUUUGGAAAUGAGUUCAGUAACUUUUUAAACAGUUGAAAAUAGACCUAUCAUGCAAACCAGCAAUCCCACUUCCAGGUAUUUAUACAAGGAAAAUGACAACAUAUGCCCACAUAAAGACUUGUGCACAAAUGACCGUAGCAGCUUUGUGAUAAUUGCUAAAAACUAGAAACUUGUCAAGUGUCCAACAGCUAAGGAAAUAGAGACAAACUACAUAAGUUGCUGAAAAAUCACAGCAAAUAAUUAGCUGAGGAAGAGACUCAAAUCUAUCAGAACUGCUUGACUUUUGAUCCUGAGCUUAUGCGCAUCCAGUGGGCAAGUGAGGGUGCAUGGGUUUGUGAAGACUCCAGCAGUAUGAUUGGGGUUGACAUGCAGGCUGGACAUACAGUGGGCCUCGAUUGCUUAGAAGCCAAACUGAACUCACCAAGAAAAGAAGACAGGAGAAACUUCUCAAGAGGAAUAUCUCCAAAUUGCAGGAUCGAAUACCAUAAGAGGAAUUCUGGACUGAAGAGUUAUGAAGUCAUUUCAGACACUUCCAGACAAUUUGUGUUAAUUAAAUUCUCACUGGUUGAGUUCCAUUCUACACUGGAAGAGCAUUUUUCCUGGAAAGGCUCCUCAAAAUGGACACCAUCAAGAGUCACCUCCUCAGUGAAGCCUUCCAUGGUUUCAUACCACCCAUCCCUAUCGGAAUGAAUGUAUCCUUGUUCUCCGUUAUCCCAGUAUUUUGCCUGGGCUUCUGUCACACUACUUUCAAUGUCUAUACCUCAGUUAUCGAAUCGAAAAACAAGAGUCAUCAGUCUCUAAGGUCCUUGCAAGCUUCAAAACUUUAUAUUUUUGUCAAUUACAACUGAAUAAAGCUGAACAACUUAUUAUUUAUGGAUACUUGCUCAAGCACCAUAUAACUCUUUCAGAUAUUUUAAAAGAAUAUGUUUGCAAAAGACUCCAAAUCAAUGUAUUAAAUUGAAAUCCAGUAUCAAAACACCCAUUAAAGUGCUCUUUUGAAAUUGUACAUUUUAUAUCAAUAAAAUUUCAAAAUAUAAAAACCUCUAUUUUACUUGUUGAAUUCUUAGGAAUAAUAACUAAACAGUUUUAAAAUAUUAGUAGAAAGAUGGUGUCUUUGAAAUAAGAAGAAUGGAGUUGGAGCAUAAGUUGCUUCUAGUUGAAUGACCUGGGCAUGAUUUAUCAUGUCUUUGCACCUCAGUUUCCCUAUCUGUAAAAUGGCAGUAAUGCUGACUUUACUUCACUAAGCUGUUGAGUAGAUUAAAUUAGACUGUG
rnacentral:lncRNA from 1 species